CCCUUAGAUGUUCUGGGCCGCACCCGCGCUACACUGAAGGAGGCAGCGUGUACUCCUGGAUCGAAAGAUUUGGGUAACCCGCGAAUCUCCUUCGUGCUAGGGAUUGAGGUUUGCAAUUAUCCUUCAUGAACGAGGAAUUCCCAGUAAGUGCAAGUCAUAAGCUUGCGCUGACUACGUCCCUGCCCUUUUUACACACCGCCCGUCGCUACUACCGAUUGAAUGAUUUAGUGAGGACUUCGGACUGGGACCGAUGCGGCUUUCGGGCUGCGUCGGUAUUCUGGAAAGAUGUCCAAACUGUAUCAUUUAGAGGAAGUAAAAGUCGUAACA
rnacentral:rRNA from 1 species